rnacentral:misc_RNA from 1 species
AAGUCGUAACAAGGUCUCCGUAGGUGAACCUGCGGAGGGAUCAUUAACACGUUGAAAAACGUUUUCUACCAAACUAACGGAAACAAGAAGAGGAAGCAGACUGUGAAAACAGAAAACUUUCAAUUCAGCGAUUCUCCCCGGUUCGUCACUCGGAAACGAGCAACGGAUGGGCCAUCCUUUUCUUUGACCUUAAAACUCAUUCCCAACUGACUCGUCUGAGUGUAAACUUUUGUUUAUUCUCCACUCGAGUGUUCUCACUGCCUUAACAUGAGAGUUCUCGGUACUGGUUUUGGACUUCUGUCCAUCGUCUGGUCCGGUCUCUUCUGAUAUCAUAAUGCAAAGCACAACUCUUAGCAACGGAUAUCUUGGUUCUC